rnacentral:lncRNA from 1 species
AGAGAUCUUUAUUAAUUUCCGCGCAGGAUUUCUGUUUCUUCCACGUUCUAGGCUGACGGCCCAGGAGGACGAGCAGUUGCAGAGCGCUGAACAACCUGAGCCAGGUGCUGUUACCCAAGAACAAGUCAUGAUGGAAACAAAAGCAUAAACAUCUGCACUUAGGGGAACAAGUGACCAAAGCCAGAUGCUCCCAGCUCCAGGGGAUUCACGGCAGUGAAUGGUGAACUUGCCCACUGUGCAAACUAUUGACCUGUGGCUGGAUGCUCUGCAUUUGCCAAAAAGAACUGGUUCUGCCCACGGUGCGUCAAUGCUUAAGGUGAUGAGUGGAUGCCUGGCCAGCCUCCAAUCCCAAGGUCUGAAAGCUGCAGCAACUGUAGAAAAGAUACUGGACACUCCUCAGAAA